CCUACGGGGGACAGCAGUCGAGAAUCAUUCACAAUGGGGGAAACCCUGAUGGUGCGACGCCGCGUGGGGGAAUGAAGGUCUUCGGAUUGUAAACCCCUGUCAUGUGGGAGCAAAUUAAAAAGAUAGUACCACAAGAGGAAGAGACGGCUAACUCUGUGCCAGCAGCCGCGGUAAUACAGAGGUCUCAAGCGUUGUUCGGAAUCACUGGGCGUAAAGUGUGCGUAGGCUGUUUCGUAAGUCGUGUGUGAAAGGCGCGGGCUCAACCCGCGGACGGCACAUGAUACUGCGAGACUAGAGUAAUGGAGGGGGAACCGGAAGUCUCGGUGUAGCAGUGAAAUGCGUAGAUAUCGAGAGGAACACUCGUGGCGAAGGCGGGUUCCUGGACAUUAACUGACGCUGAGGCACGAAGGCCAGGGGAGCGAAAGGGAUUAGAUACCCCUGUAGUC
rnacentral:rRNA from 1 species